rnacentral:lncRNA from 10 species
CUCUGUGGGUGUCAGCUGGUGGCUCGGUGUCGGGCCUUCCUGGGACGCUAAUGGGGCACCUUGAUAGGAGAGGUCAGGGACAUUCCCUGGGUGCACAUGUGUGCAUGCUUGUUUGCGGGGUUGGGAGAUGAAGCCAUGUGUGAGGGGAGGCCCAGAGGCAGCAUGAAGCCAGUGGAAGCUGAGGGCAGAAGUGGUGCGAAUCAGGGUACAAUGCGUUGCUGCAAUAAGUCUGCUCAGAGAGAGCCCCUGGGAGGAAGGGAGCACAGGCCAGCAUUUGCAUUGGGGUUCAUCUUCUUCUACAUUUUCAUCAGGCAAGUGGAAUGCCUGCUUUGUUCACAGUUCUGAAGACAGCUUGAUGGAAAAACACAAACACCCGCUUGAGGAACAGCCUGAAGAUGGGGCUUCAGUGUGUGCUUCUGUGGAGGCACCCGGGGAAAUGCAGAAUCCUCACCUAACUCAGAAGGGGAGCCAUCUGUUACUUGUCUUAAGGAGAUCAGCUGUGGUACUGGUGAAUACUGCACAUGUAUCACUUAUGCUAUGGUUGUAGAGCUACUGAACAAAAUCAGAAUUUAAUUUUACUUUGGUAAGAGCCACAAACAAGCCUGGAAGCAGUAGUAUUGGAGAACCAACAUGAGAAAGGGUGUUUCUGUGGGUAGCAAGGAAGAGAUUCUCUCAGGAGAUACAAAGGAAGUGACAGAAUGCCAACCUCUCAUUCUUCUCUGGAGUCCAGAUGGACAUUGGUGAUAACGGGAGCCAGUACAGAAGCUCUCCGGGGAUGACAGGGGAGCAAUGCCUGGUCCUGUUGAUCCCUGCUGAAAG